AGCUGCUCUAACAAGCCCCUCCGGGAACCCCAAGUCUCUUGGUGUGACAGCCACUGGAAUAGCGUUGGUUCUCAGCCCUCCCUGUGCACUGCAGUCACACAGAAGCCCCUGCAACUCACGACUGCCAGCAUCUACCCCCAGGGCCCCUGAAUGACGAGUCUAGGGGCCCAAGCACGGGUAUACUCCAGAAGUGUCCGGUUUCCAAGGGCAAGAAGCACUGAGCUAAGACAGAGAGAUCAAACAGCGAGAGGAGAGACAUCUAUAAGGACCAGAGCAGCGGGUCUUAAAUUACAUGGUCAGGCAUGGAGAAGAUGAUAUAGAUAUAGGAAAGUUCUUGGCCCAGCAGAAGAAAGGAAAUCAGGAGAAGCUGCCUUCGACUCCAGGGAUCUUUAGGGGACAUCGUGCCUUCAGAAGAAAUUCCAACCUCACUAGACACAGCCAGGGGAGGCCACAUGCUCUUGAAGGGUCAUCCAGCUUUGUGGUUUGACCACUCCUUACCUGGGCAUUCAAGCUCUCUACAGUCCAGCCCCGGUUCACAACUGCUGGGCAGACAAAAGUGGGGAGGUGGCAGGACUUUGCAGAGCAUGGUGCACUUUUUUGCCCCAUUUUCCCUUUUUUUCUUAAAUGUCACAGAAUCCAGUAAAGAGUUUC